CGCAAGCCUGACGGAGCAAGACCGCGUGCGGGAUGACGGCCUAAUGGUUGUAAACCGCUUUUCUCUGGGAAGAUGAUGACGGUACCAGAGGAAUCAGCCUCGGCUAACUCCGUGCCAGCAGCCGCGGUAAUACGGAGGAGGCAAGCGUUAUCCGGAAUUAUUGGGCGUAAAGCGUCCGUAGGUGGUUAUUCAAGUCUGCUGUCAAAGCGUGGGGCUUAACUCCAUAGAGGCAGUGGAAACUGGAUGACUUGUGUGCGGUAGGGGUCGAGGGAAUUCCCAGUGUAGCGGUGAAAUGCGUAGAUAUUGGGAAGAACACCAGUGGCGAAAGCGCUCGACUGGGCCUGCACUGACACUGAGGGACGAAAGCUAGGGGAGCG
rnacentral:rRNA from 1 species